UACGUAGGGGGCUAGCGUUGUCCGGAAUCAUUGGGCGUAAAGCGCGUGUAGGCGGUCCGGUAAGUCCGCUGUGAAAGUCAAGGGCUCAACCCUUGAAUGCCGGUUGAUACUGUCGGGCUAGAGUCCGGAAGAGGCGAGUGGAAUUCCCGGUGUAGCGGUGAAAUGCGCAGAUAUCAGGAGGAACACCAAUGGCGAAGGCAGCUCGCUGGGACGGUACUGACGCUGAGACGCGAAAGCGUGGGGAGCAAACAGG
rnacentral:rRNA from 1 species